rnacentral:rRNA from 1 species
GACGAACGCUGGCGGCGUGCCUAAUACAUGCAAGUCGAGCGGACUGAUUAAGAGCUUGCUCUUAUGACGUUAGCGGCGGACGGGUGAGUAACACGUGGGCAACCUGCCCUGUAGAUCGGGAUAACACCGAGAAAUCGGUGCUAAUACCGGGUAAUAUCUGAGAUCACAUGAUCUUAGGUUAAAAGAUGGCUCCGGCUAUCACUACAGGAUGUGCCCGCGGCGCAUUAGCUAGUUGGUAAGGUAAUGGCUUACCAAGGCGACGAUGCGUAGCCGACCUGAGAGGGUGAUCGGCCACACUGGGACUGAGACACGGCCCAGACUCCUACGGGAGGCAGCAGUAGGGAAUCUUCCGCAAUGGACGAAAGUCUGACGGAGCAACGCCGCGUGAGUGAUGAAGGGUUUCGGCUCGUAAAGCUCUGUUGUUAGGGAAGAAACAGUACCGAACGAACUAGGUCGGUACCUUGACGGUACCUAACCAGAAAGCCACGGCUAACUACGUG